AACGAACGCUGGCGGCAGGCCUAACACAUGCAAGUCGAACGGGCACCUUCGGGUGUCAGUGGCAGACGGGUGAGUAACGCGUGGGAACCUACCCAGUGGUACGGAAUAACUCGGGGAAACCCGAGCUAAUACCGUAUACGCCCUGAGGGGGAAAGAUUCAUCGCCAUUGGAUGGGCCCGCGUCGGAUUAGCUAGUUGGUGAGGUAACGGCUCACCAAGGCGACGAUCCGUAGCUGGUCUGAGAGGAUGAUCAGCCACACUGGGACUGAGACACGGCCCAGACUCCUACGGGAGGCAGCAGUGGGGAAUAUUGGACAAUGGGCGAAAGCCUGAUCCAGCCAUGCCGCGUGAGUGAAGAAGGCCUUAGGGUUGUAAAGCUCUUUCGCGGGGAAGAUAAUGACGGUACCCGCAGAAGAAGCCCCGGCUAACUCCGUGCCAGCAGCCGCGGUAAUACGGAGGGGGCUAGCGUUGUUCGGAAUUACUGGGCGUAAAGCGCACGUAGGCGGACUGCU
rnacentral:rRNA from 1 species